ACCGCACGCACGUACGAGCAAUGCCUCCUGCUCCUCUCGAUCCCCUCGACGUACGAUCUGUGAUUGCAGACGCACGAGAUCGCCGCAGCCGCUGCUCCUCCUCUCCCGGGACGCAGCCGCCACCGCCGAACCAGGGAGACGCCAGCGACCGUCGCUGCCGUCGCGGAUCACCAGGAAGCCACCGCCACCGUCGCGCCUCGGAUAUGUCGCGGAUCACCGGGACGCGGCCGUCGCGGAUCAGGAACACCAGGACACCGCCGGCGGCGGCCCCUCGGAUACCGGCGACCAGCGGCGAUCUGAGACCAACGAGUCGGCACCACACCCCUGGUAGAGAUGAUGCUGCGGAUGGGAUGGGAAGAUGCGUGUGUGCUAGCUGCCAUUGCAGAGACUUUUUAUUUUUCGGAUAGUUCAGCGUCUUAUUACGAAUCUGAUAGUGUUAUCUGCCACACAUACACCAUGUUACGAAUCUAUUUACAUGCGACUCAGAGAAAGAAUUGCUUUGCAGGUUGCCAACAUCACGAAUUUCAUACUUAUGGAGUGGAGCCACCAAACUAUUUAUGAGGAAAUAUGUUGAAGCACUGAAUAUAUUCCAUUUGCAGUGGACAAACAGAACAACACAACACAUAAGCAGAGGAAAGUAAGCGCAAACCUUUCUCUCUUUAAAUUCUUGAGGAUGGUAACAUUUUGUUACAGGUGUUCAAGAUUCAGUUCUAACAUUUUGGGGUUGCUAAUCCAUUGCAAGUAAUCAUUGCUUAACUGCAAUGUUAUCCAAAUUUCAUGUGACUUGAGUGCUAUCUCAUUUAGUUUUAUGGCUUACAAAUAACGUGCAAUUUUGAAAUUUUGUUUGUUGGCGGCCACAUUUUCAAUAUAACUCGGAAAACUAUUGAAUACGUUAUCAGUAUGGCCUCUGAAAAAUGAUGUUUUUUCAGAUAUGCG